rnacentral:rRNA from 1 species
AACGCUAGCUACAGGCUUAACACAUGCAAGUCGAGGGGCAGCGGGGGCGAAAGCUUGCUUUCGCCUGCCGGCGACCGGCGCACGGGUGGGUAACACGUAUGCAACCUGCCCGCAGCAGGGGGAUAAGCCGGAGAAAUCCGGUCUAAUACCGCGUAAUACCCCGAGGGGACAUCCCCAUGGGGUCAAAGGAGUAAUCCGGCUGCGGAUGGGCAUGCGUCGCAUUAGGCAGUUGGCGGGGUAACGGCCCACCAAACCGACGAUGCGUAGGGGUUCUGAGAGGAAGGUCCCCCACACUGGUACUGAGACACGGACCAGACUCCUACGGGAGGCAGCAGUGAGGAAUAUUGGUCAAUGGGCGGAAGCCUGAACCAGCCAAGUCGCGUGAGGGAAGACGGUCCUAUGGAUUGUAAACCUCUUUUGCCGGGGAGCAAGCCAGCCCUGCGGGACUGAGUUGAGAGUACCCGGAGAAAAAGCAUCGGCUAACUCCGUGCCAGCAGCCGCGGUAAUACGGAGGAUGCGAGCGUUAUCCGGAUUUAUUGGGUUUAAAGGGUGCGUAGGCGGAUUGUUAAGUCAGUGGUCAAAACGGGAGGCUCAACCUUCUGUCGCCAUUGAAACUGGCAGUCUAGAGUGAGCGAGAAGUAUGCGGAAUGCGUGGUGUAGCGGUGAAAUGCAUAGAUAUCACGAAGAACUCCGAUUG